rnacentral:tRNA from 1 species
GUCACGAUAGCUCAAGUGGUUAGAACAGCGGCCUGUUGAGUGGAAGGUCGUGGGUUCAAAUCCCGCUCGUGACA